CGGUCGCGCCCGUCGUGUGACGUGUGCAGAAGGAGGGGCGCCCUUUGGCGCGGCGCCAAGACGAGGCCCCGUCCCGGGAGGGCUCUCGGGCUCCGGCUUCCUCCGGGCUCGGCGGAGGGCCUCCCCGCGGGGCCCCAGGAAGCCCUGCUGCUCCCUUGGGCGCCUGAAGGGCUCCUUCUGAGAGGGCCAUGACCUCUCUGUCUCUCUUGACAAGGUGAAUCCUUGCUUGGGUCCAGGAACUAGCUUCCCCUUCAGAUAAUUUUUAAUUGAAUAAUUUUCUAAUGUCUGAAGUAAUUGAAGUUUGAAGUCUUGUUUAUUCUGUUAAAUUCUACUCCAAGAAGACCCAUUUAUUCUAAGUAGAACUCAACAAUGCAGACAUGUAUGUACGAAGUAUUUUUUUCUAAUUGUGAUCUCAUUGACACCUCUAGAUCAGGCACCUCUUAGAAAUAAUUAAAUAAUAUUUUUGGGAAAUGUUAAUAUUAUUUAUACUUCUAAAUAAAAUUACAUUUUAGAAUUUAACUUUGAAAUUAAAGCAGGUCCAUCAUAUGACAUAUUUUAAGCCCAUGAAAAAUACAAUGAGAUUGGUAUUUUUAGUUUUGAAGGCCAAAACUGUCAAUUUUUUUGAAAUUUCAAACCCUCAUAACUAAAAAAAUGAGAUUUUAAAAAUUAACAUUUUAGAUUUUAACUUAGUUUUGAGCAUUCAAAAAGUAUACAAAAUAUUAAGAAAAUUGAAUGACACAAGAUAUAUCUGAUAUAUCUGACCAUAUCAGAUCACUUGGUAUGGAAUGACCCAUUAAAUCAUUUUAAGGCAGCAGUCACUUGAAACAAAGGGGAAAAGAAAUGCAAAUGCCACACACACAAAAACAAACUUUGGGACUAGAAUAGAGAGUCCUAGAUUAGUAGUGAAUGUGGCUUACAUUUUUGCUGGAAUAAAACAUGCUUUGUCUGUAUUUGAAUCUGCCUAUUUCUGCCCCCCGGUUCUUUGUCCUCAAAGUGGAUGUCUUUGAAAGUUGGUAGUCAUACUUUGGAUCCCGAAUGCCCUGGAACUUGGGAAGUUUUGACUCCCAAAUGCUGCAAACCUGGAAGUGAUCCAGAACAGAUUCCAUUCAACUUCCAAGUUACGACUGUAUUGCAGUGUAACACCUUUAUGAAAGGAUUUUUUAAAUGGUACUAAGAUACCUAACCCCUUGAUAUUAAAGUGUUUCUGUAUCACACUAUAAUGAAAUAACAGGGCAGUGUACAAUGUUAAAACCCAACAUGCUAUUUUAGAAAUAAAAAUAAUAGAGUAAAAUAAUUAACACAACUAGCUAAGCAACAACAUAAACCCAGCCCCAAACCACUGUCAUGUGACAACAGUGUCAGUUACUCAUCACUGACUUUAUAGUCUGUCAUAGAAAGUUCUUGCAGUUUUCCUCUUUUCUGUGUUUCUCCCUCUCCUUUGUUCUUUUUCUCUUAUCCAGUUUUUUAUUCUUCUCCAACUGUCACACUCCCAAGUUCUUUUCCCUUGCUGUUUCCUAACUGCCCCCUUUCGACCUUUGAUCUGCAUUCUAUUAACUCCAUAGCAGCAGACAUUCCUAUAAUCUUGUGAAUUCUAGAUAUUCUUGAAGUCUCCACCAGAGGUCAGCAUAAUAUUCAUUACAGGAAAGAGAAUUUUACAAGUCUAUUGAUGAGACAUUUAUGACUUAAUUUUAAAUACCAUUUUGUUCAGAGGGGAAAAAAGAUACUGGAAUAUUUUAUCUGUCCACAAAGGCAGACAUAGAAAUAUAAAUGCUUUAUCCCAUGUUGAUGGCCUUUCAGCUGAUUCCCUGGUGGCCCACUGGAAUGUAGAGUUCACCAGGGCUAUUGACUGUUUGGCUCCAAAGCGCCCUCUCCAAUUGCAUGGAGCCCGGACAACCCUGUGGUUUUCCACGGAUCUGAGGGCAAUGAAACAAUCGCUGAGACGGCUAGAGCGCCAGUGGCAGAUAACUUAUUCUGAAGCUGACCAGACACAGGGUAGAGCUCAGUGUCGAGUCUACCAAGUGGCAGUAGAGACGGCAAAGCAGACUUUCUUCACCGCCUCUAUUGCAUCUGCAGAAAACAGCAACAAGAGACUCUUUCAGGUGGUUCGCAAUUUAGUGGAACCACCUGCUACAUUGGGGCCCAGUACGGGCCACAUGAUCUCCUGGCAAUGAUUUUGCAAAGUUUUUUGCAGAUAAAGUCGCUCAGAUUUGGGAUGAGGUAGACUCCACCGUGGGAGCAGGGCUGGGGCAGGAGAGUGCUAGAGGAUGUGGACAGGCUGCUUGGACAAGUGAAACCAACUACCUGUCUCCUUGAUCCUUGCCUUAUAAAGCUAGCCGGGAAGGGCUGGGUGAUGGGCUUCGCAGGGUAGUGAAUGCUUCCUUCUGUGGGGGAGCUUUCCCAGACCCAGUGAAAGGGGUGGUUAUCAAACUGCUUCUUAAAAAACCAUCCUUAGAUGCGGCCAAUAUGGCCAACUAUCGCCCAGUCCCAAAUCUUCCAUUCUUGGGCAAGGUGAUUGAGUGAGUGGUUGCUGAACAACUCCAGGCACACAUGGAAGAAGCGGACCAUUUGGAUCCCUUCCAGUUUCAGGCCUCAUCAUGGGACUGAAACUGUCUUGGUCGCGCUGGACGAUGGUCUCUGGCAGGCUAGGGAAAAAGGUGAGAGCUGUUUCCUAGUUCUGCUGGAUCUCUCAGCAGUUUUUGAAACUAUCGACCAUAACAUCCUUCUGGACUGUCUAGGGCUGGGGGCACUGUUAUACAUUGGUAAAAAGGUAAAGGGACCCCUGACCAUUAGCUCCAGUCGUGACUGACUCUCGGGUUGCGGCGCUGAUCUCACUUGUAUUGGCCAAGAGAGCCGGCGUACAGCUUCCGGGUUAUGUGGCCAGCAUGACUAAGCCGCUUCUGGCGAACCAGAGCAAUGCAUGGAAAUGCCGUUUACCUUCCCGCCGGAGCGGUACCUAUUUAUCUACUUGCACUUUGACAUGCUUUCAAACUGCUAGGUUGGCAGGAGCAGGGACCAAACAACGGGAGCUCACCCUGUCGCAAAAGUAGUCCACAAGUGAUGCCCCUGAGAGAGUCUUCCGCAAUUUCCACCUCCGUGAUGCCCCCUCAAUUACCUCCUUCAAAGGAAACUGCGAAUGUUACACCUCGGGACCCGCCGUCAGAAAUGAUUGAAGACCCGAUGGGACGCAUCAAUAAAAUAAUCCGAAUGUCGGAUGACAAAUCUGCGAGAGGGUUUACCCCGACGGACUCAAUUUCCCCCUACCUGGGUAUUUCUCUGUCAAGUUGUACCAAGAAUUUCGAAAUGAAGAGACUUCCUGUUCAGAGACCUACUUUCAGUGGAUCAUCCACGGUGUGCCAACAGUCGAACCAAAUUGUUAAAACUUUAAUUUGCAGGGCGCCUCACAGUUACCAUCCUCCCAAAGUAAAAUAACUGACUUUUUGUUACAUCUUCUGUCUCUAACAGAGAGUCUGCCCCCCCUCCAUUUUGACUGUUAAAAGAACAACAUAGAAGUCCCCAGCUAGCAGUCCUAAGUUGGAACAUUGCUGGCUGGAAAAGGAAAAGAUUAGAUCCCGAAUUUCUGUCCUAUAUAAACUCUUUCCAGAUAAUCCUUUUGCAAGAAACAUGGGAAGAAGAUAAAAUAGAUAUAAAUGGCUUUGAACUGAUAUCACUUCCAGCUAUCCCCUCCCAGAAAGGUGGCCGGUCCAGAGGCGGUCUUGCAAUCGCCAUAUCGCUUAAAAUGAGAGCUAAACUCUCGCUAGUUCAUACCUUUCCUCCUUUUGCUUUUACUGGUCUGAUUUCAAGUGAAAAAUUCUCACUAUUAAUCACCAAUGUUUAUCUUCCUCCAGGUGGUCUGAUAUCAGACCUUCAUUAUAGAUGGGAUUCUCUGGAAGAUCAUUUAUUGGCAUGCUAUGUUAAGUACCCUAAUAUUCCAUCGAUAAUGGGUGGUGACUUCAAUGCACGUACAGCUGCCAACUGGAAUGGGAUAAUUAAGGCCAAGUGGUGGGUAUCUCCCCUACCCAAAAUCUGAUUUAAUCUCUUUCACAUCAAGAAGAUCUAAGGACAACAGAGUGAAUGAGGCGGGAGUCCUUCUUUAUCAAUUGGCCAUUCGUAUGAAUUUGAACAUUCUAAAUGGCAACUGCCCUCCGGACGUGCCAGGUGAAUUCACUCAUUUGGGCACAAAAUCAAAUAGUGUCCUAGAUUAUCUUCUAGUCUCAGAAGACCUAUUUUCAAAUUUCUUUUAUCUCAAAGUAGAUAAUGUACAAUCCAGUGAUCACCUACCUCUAGCGGCCAAGCUAACGCUUGACUGGCACCCGGUUAGCGGAACACACCCAAUUCAUGUAGGUUUAAAUGCCACAGCUCAAGUAAGAGGCAUUAAAUGGUCCAUGAAACAGGCCCAAAAAUAUGCAGAAUUCUUCCAGAGGAAUAGCUCCGAAUCCCUUAUUGUUUCAUUGGCGGAGCUGUCUGAACCAAAUAGGAUACUGGAGUGGUUCUCCCACUUCUCUGCAGAUUUAACUAGUUUCUUUACGAUGCCGGCUCACCUCGCUAACCGUGAUCAACCCAGGUUCGGUGCACCUUGGUUUGAUGCCAAAUGUAAGCAAGCUAGACUCUCUCUCUGUUGUAUCUACAACAGAUAUAAAGCCUCUGGAGCUGAAACUCUCCCCCCAGAGUACUUGCAGGCCAAAAUUGCUUACAAACAGGCUCAGAAGUCAGCCAAGCACGAGUGGCAGCUAAGACGUUGGCAAGCGCUGAUUGCUGCCUCUAAGCUUCGCAGCUCUCGCGGUUUUUGGAAUUUAAUCAACAAAAGAUCGAGGAAAUACCCAUUGACGGUUAUCCCAGCCCCGACAUGGGAACAAUUUCUAAGAAAAUAUUUCUCCCAGACAGACAUCUCUAACAUCCAAUCUGAUACUCUCUCAAGUCACUUGCCCAUAUGGCCAGAUACUGACCCGGAGGAAAUAGUAGAUUUAAUUGCCAAACUGAAAACUGAUAAAGCCCCAGGGCCCGAUCUGAUCCCGGCGGAAGCUAUUAAACAACAUCCAAUAUGGUGGGCUAAAAUUCUUGCAAAAAUCUUUGAUGCAAUCAAUGCCACGGGCCAGAUACCUACAUCAUGGAAGGAGUCCAUCAUAAUUCCUAUAUAUAAAAAAGGACCACCAGAGGACCCAGGAAACUAUCGUAAUAUCAGUUUAUUAUCAAUCAUCGGAAAAAUCUACACUCGCUUCUUGCUAACCAGACUAACCCAAUGGGCCGAAGAUUCCAAUCUGAUAGGCCAUGAACAGGUCGGGUUUAGACCAAAUCGCGCUUCUAUUGACCAUGCUAUAAUUCUAUAUCAUUUGGCGCGGAAAUAUUCUUCCCCUACUCAUGGUCUUCUAUGUGCCGCUUUUAUAGACCUGAAGGCGGCUUUUGACAGUAUCUCUAGAGAGCUGUUAUGGGAAAAACUGGCAAAGUGGGGCAUAGAAAAAGGCUGUUGUGGCUAUUGAUUAAAUUACAUGAAGGGACGGCUGCUAGGGUGAGGUUAACACCUGAGGGCGAUCUAACAAACUCAGUUCCAAUAAACAAGGGGGUACGACAAGGGUGUAUCCUUGCCCCCUAUCUUUUUAACCUCUAUAUUAGUGACAUGAGGACGCCCCUAGCUGAGGCCCAAACCUCCAUUCAUGCACCCAGGCUUGCAGACUAUCGCUGCCCCUUAUUAUUGUACGCUGACGAUGCGGUGAUCCUCUCUUAUUCUCGAAUCGGUUUGAGGAGGGCCCUUAAGAUUUUUGCAUCAUAUUGCCAAACAAAUUUACUCACUAUUAACCAUUCCAAAUCUAAAGUCCUAAUUUUUCCAGGAGUCGUAAACUGUAUAGAUGGGAACUUGAGGGAAGCCAACUGAACAAGUUUACAAAUUUCAAUAUCUAGGAAUUUACUUCCAGUAUAAUAUGGGAUGGAAAGCGCAUAUCACAUAUUUACAAAACAAGGUGAAAGCCCUUAUCUACGCUAUACUACGCUUCUUCUUUACUGAGGGGGCUAUGCAUGUUCCAUCCGCCUUAAAAGUUUAUAGUGCAAAAGUGGUUGCAACUAUGGCCUAUGCGGUCCCUUUAUGGGGCGUCUUUGUAAACCUCUUGCCUCUGGUGACAUUGCAAAAUCUUUUUCUAAGACGCCUUUUGAAACUACCCUCCUGUGUAAGCAACUCUGCCAUUCGCUUAGAACUUAAGACCCCCUCCCUUGAGAUUCUGAUGUGGAGACAUGCCUUUAAUUAUUGGCUGUCCCUUUGGCAUAAAUUGCCAAACUACCAUCUUAUUCAGUGCCUUUGGAGAGAUGAAUUCACCAGCCCAUGGGCAACAAAAAUCCAUUCCAAACUGUUGUCUUAUGGAAUCUCUCCCUCCGAUAUACUUAAUUUAGAUCUAAUUACAGCUAAAAAGGUCAUCAAACAAAGAUUGGAGGAUGUAGAUUUACAACAAAAUCUUACCACAGGUGGAGGUACAUGUUCCCCGAUAUAUCAGGGCAUUACAUCUAUGUCCCAGAUACCUCGAUAUCUGUCUACUUUAUCGGCUGCGUCGCAUAGAUUCGCAUUUGUUAGAGCCAGAUUUAAUGUGUUCCCCUCAAAUGUGCUGAGCAAUAGAUUUUCUAACGGUAAAAUCUCUGUUUUGUGCGCAUGUGACAACAAAUCGAUAGAAUCCCUUUAUCAUAUCUUGUUUAAUUGCCCCUUAUACAAUGUUCCCCGAUCAAGGAUCCUGAGUUCAAUCAUCCUGGAAAUUGCUGCUAAACCACCUGAAUUACAUCUAGCUUAUCUACUCCAGGACAUUGACUCUUAUAGAACUUUACAGGUUGCUAGAUUCCUGAUCUCAGUUCUGUCUUAUAAAAGACUUCAGGGAAUGCUGCAUGACUAUUAAAAAUUCAGUAAACUCUAUGCACCAUCUUUAUCUUCAAGGCCAUAACACGGUACAGUUAGAGAUUAUGCGUUGAAAUAUUUUAGUUGAUAUUUUAGAUUGUAAAAUGCUAUUGAUUUUAUCUAUUGAUUUUUAUCUAUUGAUUUGUUUUACCUUGUGGGCUUAUAGCCGAAUAAAGUAUUAUCUAUCUCACCCUGUCGCAAGGAUUCGAACCACCGACCUUCUGAUCUGAUCAGCAAAUCCUAGGCUCUGUGGUUUAACCCACAGCGCGACCCGCGUCCCUUACAGUGGUUCCGCUCCUUCCUCCUGGGCCGUGUUCAGAAAGUGUUAGUGUUCAGACUCCUGGGCUCUCACUUGUGGGGUGCCUCAGGGUUCUGUCCUCUCCCCAUGUUUUUCAAUAUCUACAUGCAGCCGCUGGGAAACAUCAUCAGGGGGUUUGGGCUGGGUGUUCAUCAGUAUGCGGAUGAUACCCAGCUCUACCUCUCUUUCAAAUCAAAACCAGUGAACGCGGUGAAGGUCUUGUGUGAGUGUCUGGAGGCGGUUGGCGGAUGAAUGGCGACUAACUGAGGUUGAAUCCUGACAAGACAGAAGUACUGUUUUGGGGGGACAGGAGGCGGGCAGGUGUGGAGGACUCCCUGGUCCUGAAUGGGGUAACUGCCCCUGAAGGACCAGGUGCGGAAAAAAGCUACUGUUAGCGCCUCCAGCAAUGGCGGAAUUCCUCUGAUCGGGAGGAAUCCGCUCCGUGGAAAUUAGGGUCUGGCCACUUGUGGACGUGGGAUUCGGCUGGCACCUUUUGCGCCUCCCCUACUCUCAGGGAAACCCGGUUUCGGGGAUCCGGAGCGACGUGGGGUGAGUGGCGCGGUGCUUCGAAUCGACUGCUUCUUUCACGGAGUGAAGCCGCAUUGCUGUUGCCGGAGAGCGCUGACUUUUUCCUGUGGACAAUUUGAUCUUAAAACAACUACCCGUGAGUAGAACGGAAAAUUGGACUCUUAAAUGUCUUAAUUUGGCACUGAAACGGGGAGGUUUCAAACAGGAAGUCCGCCUCCCCCUUUUGUAAAUAGAUUGAAGCAAAGAGGCUGCAAGCUAAAGCCUUUCAUAAAGGAUUAAACUUCCAUCGGUUAAAUCAUCAAACCCCCCUUGGAAGUAGGAGAAGAGGGGGGAAUUUUAAGAUCGCGUAAGCCUGCAGGAGAGAGUGAAGAAAGUCAAAUUACCACCGCUCUGAACCUGGAAACGGGCUGCUAGUAAGGUUGAAGUUUUGGAUAUGCUCAUUGACUGUGAAUAGAUCGUCUGCUGACAGUAGGUUAAAGAAGAGAAAUACAUUGUUUCCAUUGUCUCCUUCUGCAUUUAAAAAGGAGUAAAAGUAACUGAAAAUUGAAACCCACUUUAUUGUUUGAACUGUGCUUAAAAGGAUUGAUACAAAUAGAAAUUGUUUCCCCUAGAGGAAGCCUUUGAAAUUGUUACAAGAGCUGAGCUGGAGGAAUUUCCACCUGCAAGAUAAAACUGUGAGAAUCUGGGAUUGACCUUGGACCGUUAAGAAUGUUGACAGAAGAAGCCUUAGUGGUUGCAUUUUGUAAGAUUAAUGAUUCACUGGAACAGCUUCAUAAGAAGACGGAUGCGAGGACUAUAAAAAUUGAUAACUUGGAACAAAAAGUGACUAAUUUGGCACAAAAAGUCAAUAUUACAAGAUACAAAUCCGUUUAUUGUGAGGACCAUGCCUGUACACAAACAUUAACACAACAAUAGUUAAAAGAUAUUAAAAUUCAUUACAUACUACGCCAACAAAACCUUCAUCCCACAAAAUAGAAAGAGAGGGAAAACGAGCAACGAGUUAAACAGACGAUGAAGGGGUCUUUACAUUGUCAUCCAUAAGUCUUUCCCUGGCUUUCAUGGCCUUCAUCACAAAAACCGCUACCACAUGGGUAAUACGUGGGUUUGCAUCAACUAACAAAAAUUUUACUCUAUCUUCAGGAUUGGUUAUAGAGUUGGGUAUAAUUUGCAGCAAUGCGUCUCUAAAGCUCGAGUAGAUGGGGCAAUAGAGGAGGUAAUGUGUAAGAUCCUCUUUAAUUUUCAUAAGGCAAGGGCAUAAACGAUGUUCUACUGGGGUUUUUGUGAAUCUACCGGUCAGAUAUGCAGUUGGCAGUGUUUGAAACCGUGCCAUAGUGAAAGCUCUCCGAAGGGUGGGGUCAGUGAUCUCCACCAAGUAGUUGGCACAGAUUUUGACUGCUUUUACUCGGGGAAACCAGUAGGAAAACCCAGAGUUUUUUAUCUUUGUGGAGUCCAAAAGGCGUCUUUUCAAAGAUCCAUUCCCGAACUUUAUCAGGGCUCCACAAUUUAAGGGUAUUAAACUCAGGUAGAUUGUAUCUGGAUAGGAUAUCUAGUAGGUUUUUAUGCCAAGUAGUAUUAUUUUGUAAUAAUACAAAGGCUUGUUUAGCCAAUAAGGUGUUCGGGGCAUCUGUGAGGUUGGUGAAAAACGCAGGAAUCUUAAGUGGGCCCUGGCAGACACAGAAGGUAAUCCUACUUCCACUCUUAGGAGAGCUGCCGGAGUACUCUGAGGGAGGCCUAGAAUUCUUCUGAGGUAAAAAUUUUGGAAGAUUUCAAGCCGUUCUAACAGCUUCUGAUUCCAUCCCCAGAGUUCUACUCCAUAUAGCAUCUGGGGAAUCACUUUUCCAACAAAAGCUUUUAAUGCCGGGAUCACCAGUUGCCCUCCCUCGAAGCAAAAAAGCUGAGCAGGGCACCGAUUGUCCUACGUGUUAGAAGGGCUACAGUCUUGAAGUGGGCAAGCCAGCUAGAUGUAGCUUGGAAAGUGAUACCAAGAUAUUUAAAAAAAAGACACUGUUCAAUUUUGUGUUCAUCUAAAGACCAUCUAAAUGUGUGGCGAGCUCUAGUAAAUACCACAAUUUUUGUUUUGUCAUAAUUUAUCUUUAGAGAGUUUUGGGAACAAUAAGCUGCGAGCCCCUCCAGCAUGCUAUGUAGGCCCCUUCGAGUAAGUGCCAUGACAGCCAUGUCAUCAGCAUAUAGUAAUAUAUUCAGGUGUUUGCCUUCCAGGGCAGGAGCUGAUGACUUAUACUUUGCCAUAUGUUGAACAAUGUCAUUUAUAUAGAAAUUAAAGAGGAACGGCGCUAACAAACAGCCCUGUUUAACCCCUUUCCCCAGUGGCAGUGGAUCAGUAUAGUUGCCUGACAUCCCAGUUCUGAUUUUAACUGUGGUGUCUGAAUGUAACUCUCUAAGUAUUUUGAGAAGUCGUCUAUCAAUAUCUGUUUCAUAUAAUUUUUGCCAUAAUUUGUCCCUACAGAUUGAAUCAAAAGCGGAUGUGAGAUCUACGAAAGCCACAAAAAGUUUGCUCUUAUGUACCUUUGUAUACUUAUCUAUCAUUGUCUGUAGUACCAAACAAUGGCCUGUUGUACUAUGGCCCUUUCUAAACCCUGCCUGUUCCGGAUUAAGCAGGUUAGAGUGGUCAGCCCAGUCAACCAGUUUAUUUAGCAGGUAGCGAGUGUAAAGUUUAUACACAAUGUCCAGGAGACUUAUGGGGCGAUAGUUUGAGGGGUCUUGGGGUCUCCCUUCUUAUAGAUGGGGGCUACCAGGCUCAGUUUCCAGUUUUCUGGGAUUUUGCAUAUAUCAUUUAUUACCGUAAAAAGUUGGGCCAAAAUAGCAGCCCACCACUGGGCAUUUAGUUUAAAUACCUCAGGAGGAAUCAUAUCCUCACCGGGAGCUUUGCCAUUCUUGAGUGUUUUAAUUAGCUGUAAACAUUCUGAUUCGGUAACAGGAUCCCAGCCCAUUAAUAGAUCGUUUUUAAGAGGAGGAAACUGGCUCGGUUUAGCAAUGUUUGGAGCUGUAUAUAGCCGGGAAAAGUGUUGGUACCAUAAGUUAGAUGAGAUACUGUUGGUUACAAUUUUCCCUUUGGGUGAAACUCCUGGGCAAUUAUUUCCCAGAACUUUUUGUCAUCCCGCAAUUUGAUCGCUUUGUCAAGUGCCUCCCAUUGUUCCUUUCUGUAGAGGGAUUUCUUAAAUUUUAGAGUAUUUUUAUAAUGAGAACGCCACCUGUGCAGGUUUUCCAAUGAGGACAAGGUCCCUUCCUGUUUUACCUUAUUUUGUAGUUUCCUGAGCAAAGAUCUUAGAUUCCUACAGUCUUUGUCAAACCAGGCCCUCGAGUUGUUUUGUUUUUUGGGAGGGUUGGAAUUCGUGAGUAGUGGGAAGAGCGACUCUGAGACCUGCUGAAAUGUUGAAAAGGGGUCAGAAAUGGAUGAGAUGCACUGGUCUCUCAAGGCCAGUAAGUCUGAUGAAUGCAGGUGUAAUUUGAUUUUAGAUUCCAGGUCGCUGUUCCAUUUACGCCUACGAAGGGCCAGAGUUGGAGGUGGGUCUGCACAGUGAUUGCGGUAUUGCGGAUCCUCCACACCACGGGGAAUUAGUGAAAUUGAUAUAGGAAGAUGAUCACUCUCAAUUCUAUUGAAAGUCCUGAAGCCCUGUGACCUCUCCAAGAGUUUUGGGGAGACCAGGAUAUAAUCAAUAACGCUCGCACCUCUGGGUCCAAGAAAAGAAAAGAAACCCCCUGACCUGUCCAUAUGGGUACCAUGCAAAUUAUACAAAUUAUGUUUGAAGGCAGUCUCCAUUAAUGUAAUGCCUGCCUUAUUCAAGACCUUAUCGUCUGAGGACCAGGGAAUAAACCAAUCUGCCUCUGGCAGGAACUGAGAUUUAGAGCAGUACGUAUUUAUGUCAUUUCCUAUCCUGGCGUUGAAAUCACCUGCCAGCAGGAUAUCCAUGCCAGGGAAUUCUAGUUCAGCCUUCUCCAAACAUAGCUCUAAAUCUUCCCAGAAUUGUGACGACUGGGAAGGGGUGCCUAUGGGAGGGAUAUAUAUAUUAAAGCAAAGGAAAUCUCCUCCUUCACUGCUAGAAAUAAGUGAGAUUUGUAAAUUGUUACUCUUCACCCACUGCUGUUGCCGGGCCUUGCAUUUUAGCUUGGUAGAAACAAAAGUGACUAAACCACGGAUGUGAGGACUAUAAAAAUUGAUAACUUGGAACAAAAAGUGACUAAUUUGGCACAAAAAGUCAAUAUUAAUACAGAAAUUAUUCAGGAAUCGAUACAGGGAUCUAUUUUGACAUGGCAAAUUGAGGGGAAGGCGGGGGAGAAAGUUUUUGCUGUGGAACCUAAAGUGGCACAAGUGGAGAGGGAGAGAGCCCCAGCCUUACAGUUGCAAUUUGAUUAUUAUAAGUUGACGCCUUUCAAGAUUGAAUUUAGAGAAAGUCAGACUUUUAGGAUUAGGAUUCUCCGCUUUGACUGGAGAAAGAAAGUUGGAUAGAUCCCCUCAUGCAGGGGUUUAUUGACCUUUGGGACCUGGACUUGGGUCAGGAGGAGACUGGAGUUGUGGGGACUGCCAGACUUGGAGGAACUUUGAAACACGACUGGAAAUAUCUUUUGAAUUUCAGUUCUAACUAUGGAGAUUUGGCCGACUUGUCGAGAAGGAAUAAAAACAUUGCUAGAUGGGAAUUCCCCGGAGACCUACUUUUCAGCAUCAAAGGAAGGAAAAUAAAAACAAGAUCAGGAGAAGACAAAGUAAAGUGCAUGUAUAAAUAUGAAGAAGACUUGCAGAAGGGACCUGGAAAAGAGUUAAGAGCCUCGGACAGAAGAUCACCAGGUUGAUGGGCUAUAUGGAAUUGACGGAAAUGACUGGCUGAACCCGAGACCAGGGAGAAGAGACGGUGGAAGAAUAUUGGAAAAAGCUUAAAUUUUUAUAUAUGGAAAUAAUGUAAAAUUAAUCAGUGUUAGAAAAAUGUUGGAAGGGAAUUAUACGGCUUUAGAAAUGUUUUAAGGAAUUAAGCAUAAAUAAGUAUUAUAGUAUUAAUGGAAAAUAAGGUUAAAAUAUGUUAAGAUAAUUACAUGACAGAAAAUAGAGAAAGAUGGAAAGGAUUUGCUGAAACAAUUAAUAGAAAUGGAAUACAAAAAGGGAGGUGAGAGGAGGUCGAUGAAACAAGGGAAUGAAAGAGAGGAUAUUGAGAUGGUAUGAUGUGUGUUUCUUUCUUCAAUUUUAUUUGCUUUUGUUUAAUGUGUUAAUGUUAAUGUUGUGUUCUGUAUUGUUUAUAUAUUGUAUUGUAUUGUUUUCUCUUUUGUAUUUCUUCUUUUCUUUUUUCUUUUUUCCCCUUUCUUUUGU